UCCCCUAUCUGGGGACCAUAUAUUAAAUGGAUUUUUGGAACAGGGAGAUGAAGAAGAGCUUGCUCUGUCCACUCCAUGCAUUGACCUGGUAUUGCAGUACCCCCAGGACCGGUGCACCUCUC
rnacentral:sRNA from 1 species